rnacentral:rRNA from 1 species
UACAGAGGUCCCAAGCGUUGUUCGGAUUCACUGGGCGUAAAGGGUGCGUAGGUGGCCAGGUAAGUCUGAUGUGAAAUCUCGGAGCUUAACUCCGAAACUGCAUUGGAUACUAUCUGGCUAGAGGGUCGGAGGGGAGACUGGAAUUCUCGGUGUAGCAGUGAAAUGCGUAGAUAUCGAGAGGAACACCAGUGGCGAAGGCGGCUCACUGGACCGGUUCUGACGCUGAGGCGCGAAAGCGUGGGUAGCAAACAGG